UACAGAGGUCUCAAGCGUUGUUCGGAUUCAUUGGGCGUAAAGGGUGCGUAGGCGGCGCGGUAAGUCGGGUGUGAAAUCUCGGAGCUUAACUCCGAAACUGCAUUCGAUACUGCCGUGCUUGAGGACUGGAGAGGAGACUGGAAUUUACGGUGUAGCGGUGAAAAUGCGUAGAUAUCGUAAGGAAGACCAGUGGCGAAGGCGGGUCUCUG
rnacentral:rRNA from 1 species